ACUCCUACGGGAGGCAGCAGUGGGGAAUAUUGCACAAUGGGCGCAAGCCUGAUGCAGCCAUGCCGCGUGUGUGAAGAAGGCCUUCGGGUUGUAAAGCACUUUCAGCAGUGAGGAAGGCGGGUACGUUAAUAGCGUGCUCGU
rnacentral:rRNA from 1 species